rnacentral:ncRNA from 1 species
AAUAGACCCUGGUGGAACCUUGUGUCGGGACCUACAGGCCAACGGACAGUCUCAGAUAGACAGUUUCUAUGGGGCAUAGGUCUCCCAAAAGGUAACGGAGGCAUGCAAAGGUUUCCUCGGACCGAACGGAGAUUGGCCCUCAGACAGAAGGAAGUUUGACUGCAAGACCCACCCGUCGAGCAAGGACGAAAGUCAACCUUAGUGAUCCAACGGUGCCGAGUGGAAGGGCCGUCGCUCAACAGACAAAAGUUAUUCUAGGGAUAACAAGCUAAUCUUCCCCAAGAGCUCAUCAGACAAAAGUUAUUCUAGGGAUAACAAGCUAAUCUUCCCCAAGAGCUCACAUCGACGAUAAGGUUGGGCACCUCUACGUCGGCUCUUCGCCACCUGGGGUUGUAGUAUGUUCCAAGGGUUGAACCAUUCGCCCAUUAAAGUGGUACAGAAAUGCAAGGUAAAACUGCACACAGUACACU